rnacentral:rRNA from 1 species
GAUGAACGCUGGCGGCGUGCCUAAUACAUGCAAGUCGAGCGAACAGACGUGGAUCUUGCUCCUCUGACGUUAGCGGCGGACGGGUGAGUAACACGUGGAUAACCUACCUAUCAGACUGGGAUAGCUUCGGGAAACCGGAGCUAAUACCGGAUAAUAUAUUGAACCGCAUGGUUCAAUAGUGAAAGACGGUUUUGCUGUCACUUAUAGAUGGAUCCGCGCCGCAUUAGCUAGGUGGUAAGGUAACGGCUUACCAAGGCGACGAUGCGUAGCCGACCUGGGAGGGUGAUAGGACACACUGGAACUGAGACACGGUCCAGACUCCUACGGGAGGCAGGAGUAGGGAAUCUUCCGCAAUAGGCGAAAGCCUGACGGAGCAACGCGGCGUGAGUGAUGAAGGUCUUCGGAUCGGAAAACUGUGGUAUUAGGGAAGAACAAAUGUGUAAGUAGCUAUGCACGUCUUGACGGUACCUAAUCAGAAAGCCACGGCUAACUACGUG